AACCUCCUUGCCACAGGUAGGGACACCUUCAACCAGAACAGGUUGCUCAAGGCCUCAUCCAGUAUGGCCUUGUCACCAACUCCUUUUCCUUCUGGGGCUUCACCUGGAGCUCUGGGGCUCAGCUUGCCUUGAAUGUGAGAGCCACACAAAGUCCUCUCUCCAACCUGAAAGGCUGCAGGAUGCAGAGUCUCACGGGUGCCCUGCUGCCCCCGAGACAGCCAAGCGGGGACAGGUUCCUGCGCUGCUGUGCCAGAGGGUGCCACGAUGCUCACAGGGAUGCCUGUGUGCUGCACGGCCCCCUGGGGCACUGACAGCACCACUGCCGCGCUGUCACAGCACGACCACCGGCCCCACGCCGCGACAGCUGCCUGGUGCAGAGAGCCUUCACCCAUCAGCUGAGUGUUGUUUAAGUCUUAAACUUAUGUGUGCUGUAACCAGAUUCUUUUAUUCAGCCUGACGAAAAAUAUUCUGUUUGAUGUUUUCACAGACAGCAUCUUAAGGCGUUACUUCAGCGCUGCCCUUUCCGAAGUCAUUAUUACUCAUUAGGUAUAUUGUGCAGAAAGCAAAGUAGGUCACGGAUGAAAAGCCCCAUCUUAGCGAGAGGCACCGGUAUUGCACAAAGCUAUUUUCAACUUUCAUGAGAUAAAAAAUGUUUUCUGUAGGAUGAAAGCUGUCACUGCCAACUUACGAAUGAAUGCCAAGUAUGUAAAAACUUUCA